UACGUAGGGGGCAAGCGUUGUCCGGAUUUAUUGGGCGUAAAGAGCGUGUAGGCGGCUUUGCAUGUCCGUUGUGAAAACUCGAGGCUCAACCUCGAGACGUCGGCGGAAACCAUCUGGCUAGAGUCCGGAAGAGGAGAGUGGAAUUCCUGGUGUAGCGGUGAAAUGCGCAGAUAUCAGGAAGAACACCCGUGGCGAAGGCGGCUCUCUGGGACGGUACUGACGCUGAGGCACGAAGGUCAGGGGAGCAAACAGG
rnacentral:rRNA from 1 species